GAGCCCUUCGGGGGAAAGAUUUAUCGCCAAAGGAUUGGCCCGCGUUAGAUUAGGUAGUUGGUGGGGUAAUGGCCUACCAAGCCUACGAUCUAUAGCUGGUUUUAGAGGAUGAUCAGCAACACUGGGACUGAGACACGGCCCAGACUCCUACGGGAGGCAGCAGUGGGGAAUCUUGGACAAUGGGGGCAACCCUGAUCCAGCCAUGCCGCGUGAGUGAUGAAGGCCUUAGGGUCGUAAAGCUCUUUCGCCUGUGAAGAUAAUGACGGUAGCAGGUAAAGAAACCCCGGCUAACUCCGUGCCAGCAGCCGCGGUAAUACGGAGGGGGUUAGCGUUGUUCGGAAUUACUGGGCGUAAAGCGCACGUAGGCGGACUGGAAAGUUGGGGGUGAAAUCCCAGGGCUCAACCCUGGAACUGCCUCCAAAACUAUCAGUCUAGAGUUCGAGAGAGGUGAGUGGAAUUCCGAGUGUAGAGGUGAAAUUCGUAAAUAUUCGGAGGAACACCAGUGGCGAAGGCGGCUCACUGGCUCGAUACUGACGCUGAGGUGCGAAAGUGUGGGGAGCAAAACAGGAUUACAUACCCUGGUAGUCCACACCGUAAACAAUGAAUGCCACUCGUCGGGUACCAUGCUAUUCGGUGACACACCUAACGGAUUAACCAUUCCGCCUGGGGAGUACGGUCGCAAGAAUAAAACUCAAAGGAAUUGACCGGGGCCCGCACAACGGUGGAGCAUG
rnacentral:rRNA from 1 species